rnacentral:rRNA from 1 species
UAGUAUCAUAGAUCAGCAUUGUUUUAUGAUUAAAGAUUUAUUGCUACAAGAUGGCUAUGCGUUCUAUUAGUUAGUUGGUGAGGUAACGGCUUACCAAGACAUCGAUAGAUAGGGGCCCUGAGAGGGGGAUCCCCCACACUGGUACUGAGACACGGACCAGACUCCUACGGGAGGCAGCAGUGAGGAAUAUUGGACAAUGGAGGCAACUCUGAUCCAGCCAUGCCGCGUGUAGGAAGACUGCCCUAUGGGUUGUAAACUACUUUUAUAGAGGAAGAAACCUAUCUACGUGUAGAUAGCUGACGGUACUCUACGAAUAAGGAUCGGCUAACUCCGUGCCAGCAGCCGCGGUAAUACGGAGGAUCCAAGCGUUAUCCGGAAUCAUUGGGUUUAAAGGGUCCGUAGGCGGGUUUGUAAGUCAGUGGUGAAAGUUUUCGGCUCAACCGGAAAAUUGCCAUUGAUACUGCAAGUCUUGAAUCAUUAUGAAGUGGUUAGAAUAAGUAGUGUAGCGGUGAAAUGCAUAGAUAUUACUUAGAAUACCGAUUGCGAAGGCAGAUCACUAAUAAUGUAUUGACGCUAAGGGACGAAAGCGUGGGUAGCGAACAGGAUUAGAUACCCUGGUAGUCCACGCCGUAAACGAUGGUUACUAGCUGUUCGGACUUCGGUCUGAGUGGCUAAGCGAAAGUGAUAAGUAACCCACCUGGGGAGUACGUUCGCAAGAAUGAAACUCAAAGGAAUUGACGGGGGCCCGCACAAGCGGUGGAGCAUGUGGUUUAAUUCGAUGAUACGCGAGGAACCUUACCAGGGCUUAAAUGUAGUCUGACAGCUUUAGAGAUAGAGUUUUCUUCGGACAGAUUACAAGGUGCUGCAUGGUUGUCGUCAGCUCGUGCCGUGAGGUGUCAGGUUAAGUCCUAUAACGAGCGCAACCCCUGUUGUUAGUUGCCAGCGAGUAAUGUCGGGAACUCUAGCAAGACUGCCGGUGCAAACCGCGAGGAAGGUGGGGAUGACGUCAAAUCAUCACGGGCCUUACGUCCUGGGCCACACACGUGCUACAACGGUAGGUACAUAGAGCAGCCACUGGGUGCCCAGGAUCGUAUCAAUGUAGCCGUAGACAGUGAUCAUGGCUCUGGACGUCGUGACAAGGUAGCCGUAGAGUUUGAUCCUGGCUCAGGAAGUCGUAACAAGG